ensembl:lncRNA
UGGAGAUAAUGAACAGCUCAGGGUGAGGUAACACCACUAUAUCACGAUACUGGAGAUAAUGAACAGCUCGGGGUGAGAACACCACUAUAUCACGAUACUGGAGAUAAUGAACAGCUCAGGGUGAGGUAACACUACUAUAUCACGAUACUGGAGAUAAUGACCAGCUCGGGGUGAGAUAACACUACUAUAUCACGAUACUGGAGAUAAUGAACAGGGUGAGAUAACACUACUAUAUCACGAUACUGGAGAUAAUGAACAGGGUGAGGUAACACCACUAUAUCACGAUAUUGGAGAUAAUGAACAGGGUGAGAACACCACUAUAUCACGAUACUGG